GACGAACGCUGGCGGCGUGCUUAACACAUGCAAGUCGAACGGAAAGGCCCUGCUUUUGUGGGGUGCUCGAGUGGCGAACGGGUGAGUAACACGUGAGUAACCUGCCCUUGACUUUGGGAUAACUUCAGGAAACUGGGGCUAAUACCGGAUAGGAGCUCCUGCUGCAUGGUGGGGGUUGGAAAGUUUCGGCGGUUGGGGAUGGACUCGCGGCUUAUCAGCUUGUUGGUGGGGUAGUGGCUUACCAAGGCUGUGACGGGUAGCCGGCCUGAGAGGGUGACCGGCCACAUUGGGACUGAGAUACGGCCCAGACUCCUACGGGAGGCAGCAGUGGGGAAUAUUGCACAAUGGGCGGAAGCCUGAUGCGACAACGCCGCGUGCGGGAUGACGGCCUUCGGGUUGUAAACCGCUUUCGCCUGUGACGAAGCGUGAGUGACGGUAAUGGGUAAAGAAGCACCGGCUAACUACGUG
rnacentral:rRNA from 1 species